rnacentral:rRNA from 1 species
CAGCAGCCGCGGUAAUACGUAGGGUGCGAGCGUUGCCCGGAUUUAUUGGGCGUAAAGGGCGCGCUAGGCGGUCACGCACGCUCCGUUGUGAAAUCGCUCGGCUCAACUGGGCGGGGUCAGCGGAUACGGCGUGGCUGGAGCAAGCUAGGGGGCAAUGGAAUUCCCGGUGUAGUGGUGGAAUGCGUAGAUAUCGGGAGGAACACCAGUGGCGAAGGCGGUUGCCUGGAGCUUUGCUGACGCUGAUGCGCGAAAGCGUGGGGAGCGAUCCGGAUUAGAUACCCGGGUAGUCCACGCCGUAAACGAUGCGGACUAGGUGUCGGGGGUAUCGACCCCCUCGGCGCCGCAGCUAACGCAUUAAGUCCGCCGCCUGGGGACUACGGCCGCAAGGCUAAAACUCAAAGGAAUUGACGG